rnacentral:rRNA from 1 species
UACGUAGGGGGCUAGCGUUGUCCGGAAUCAUUGGGCGUAAAGAGCGUGUAGGCGGCCCGGUAAGUCCGCUGUAAAAGUCAAAGGCUCAACCUUUGAAUGUCAGUGGAUACUGCCGGGCUAGAGUCCGGAAGAGGCGAGUGGAACUCCUGGUGUAGCGGUGAAAUGCGCAGAUAUCAGGAAGAACACCAAUGGCGAAGGCAGCUCGCUGGGACGCGACUGACGCUGAGACGCGAAAGCGUGGGGAGCAAACAGG